rnacentral:rRNA from 1 species
GUCCGGCGAUAAAGUCUGGCUGAUAGGGUGGUGGCUCGGCCGGCUGCUUUCUCGCAGGCGUAUAGCAUGAGCAAAUCAGAAUGCUCAAAGUAGGCCUACGCGCUGAAUGUGUUAGCAUGGAAUAAUAAAAUAGGACUCGAGUCUGUUUGUUGGUUUACUUGACAUUGAGAAAUGAUGAAUAGGAACGGUUGGGGGCAUUUGUAUUUGGCCGCUAGAGGUGAAAUUCUUGGAUUGGCCGAAGACAAACUACUGCGAAAGCAUUUGACACAGGACGUUUUCAUUGAUCAGGGACUAAAGUUGAGGGAUCGAAGACGAUUAGAUACCGUCGUAGUCUUAACCACAAACUAUGCCGACUAGCGAUUGGGCCUUGACCUUUGGUCAGGUUCAGCAGCUUAGCGAAAGUAAAGUCUUUGGGUUCUGGGGGGAGUAUGGGACGCAAGGCUGAAACUUAAAGGAAUUGACGGAAGGGCACCACCAGGAGUGGAGCCUGCGGCUUAAUUUGACUCAACACGGGGAAACUCACCAGGUCCAGACAUAAGAAGGAUUGACAGAUUGAAAGCUCUUUCUAAAUUUUAUGGGUGGUGGUGCAUGGCCGUUCUUAGUUCGUUGAGUGAUUUGUCUGGUUAAUUCCGAUAACGAACGAGACCUUAUUCUGCUAAAUAGCUGGGCCAACUUUUUAGUUGGUUGUAUGGUGACUUCGGUCACCCCAGCUUCUUAGAGAGACUACUGAAUUCAAUUCGGUGGAAGUUUUAGGCAAUAACAGGUCUGUGAUGCCCUUAGAUGUUCUGGGCCGCACGCGCGCUACACUGACAAAAUCAGCGAGUUUUUUUCCUUGGCCGGAAGGUCUGGGUAAACUUUUGAAACUUUGUCGUGCUGGGGAUAGAACAUUGCAAUUAUUGUUCUUCAACGAGGAAUUCCUAGUAAGCGCAAGUCAUCAGCUUGCGUUGAUUACGUCCCUGCCCUUUGUACACACCGCCCGUCGCUACUACCGAUUGAAUGGCU